CUACGGGUGGCUGCAGUGGGGAAUAUUGGACAAUGGGGGCAACCCUGAUCCAGCCAUGCCGCGUGUGUGAAGAAAGCCCUCGGGUUGUAAAGCACUUUCAGUGAGGAAGAACGCCUGGUGGUUAAUACCCAUCAGGAAAGACAUCACUCACAGAAGAAGCACCGGCUAACUCCGUGCCAGCAGCCGCGGUAAUACGGAGGGUGCGAGCGUUAAUCGGAAUUACUGGGCGUAAAGCGCGCGUAGGUGGCUUGAUAAGCCGGUUGUGAAAGCCCCGGGCUCAACCUGGGAACGGCAUCCGGAACUGUCAAGCUAGAGUGCAGGAGAGGAAGGUAGAAUUCCCGGUGUAGCGGUGAAAUGCGUAGAGAUCGGGAGGAAUACCAGUGGCGAAGGCGGCCUUCUGGACUGACACUGACACUGAGGUGCGAAAGCGUGGGUAGCAAACAGGAUUAGAUACCCCAGUAGUC
rnacentral:rRNA from 1 species